UUUAAUCUAUACUCUUCUAAUCUUAUCUCUUUACACCAUCUUCACCAACCAUUAACCAUAGAUUUCUAAUACCCUAAAAUCUCACUGCCAUCGUUAUCGCAUUUGUGUAAAAUUAGCUCCAUUUACACCUUGUAUCUAGAUUACACGUUCAUUGGCCAAAUUACGGAACACCUACUCACUUUUACACUCCAUAAUAUUUCAUCUACAACUCCCACUUGCCUUCUGCAAAUGUUUGUUUUUAACUAUGGAAAAGCAUACAGAGACGUUUACUCCG
rnacentral:lncRNA from 1 species